rnacentral:rRNA from 1 species
AUAAUGGGUCAGCGACUUAUAUUCUGUAGCAAGGUUAACCGAAUAGGGGAGCCGAAGGGAAACCGAGUCUUAACUGGGCGUUAAGUUGCAGGGUAUAGACCCGAAACCCGGUGAUCUAGCCAUGGGCAGGUUGAAGGUUGGGUAACACUAACUGGAGGACCGAACCGACUAAUGUUGAAAAAUUAGCGGAUGACUUGUGGCUGGGGGUGAAAGGCCAAUCAAACCGGGAGAUAGCUGGUUCUCCCCGAAAGCUAUUUAGGUAGCGCCUCGUGAAUUCAUCUCCGGGGGUAGAGCACUGUUUCGGCAAGGGGGUCAUCCCGACUUACCAACCCGAUGCAAACUGCGAAUACCGGAGAAUGUUAUCACGGGAGACACACGGCGGGUGCUAACGUCCGUCGUGAAGAGGGAAACAACCCAGACCGCCAGCUAAGGUCCCAAAGUCAUGGUUAAGUGGGAAACGAUGUGGGAAGGCCCAGACAGCCAGGAUGUUGGCUUAGAAGCAGCCAUCAUUUAAAGAAAGCGUAAUAGCUCACUGGUCGAGUCGGCCUGCGCGGAAGAUGUAACGGGGCUAAACCAUGCACCGAAGCUGCGGCAGCGACGCUUAUGCGUUGUUGGGUAGGGGAGCGUUCUGUAAGCCUGUGAAGGUGUACUGUGAGGUAUGCUGGAGGUAUCAGAAGUGCGAAUGCUGACAUAAGUAACGAUAAAGCGGGUGAAAAGCCCGCUCGCCGGAAGAC